rnacentral:rRNA from 1 species
GACGGAGGAUGCAAGCGUUAUCCGGAAUUAUUGGGCGUAAAGCGUCCGCAGGUGGCUUAUCAAGUCUGCCGUCAAAGACCGGGGCUUAACCCUGGAAAGGCAGUGGAAACUGAGAAGCUAGAGUGUGGCAGGGGCAGAGGGAAUUCCCGGUGUAGCGGUGAAAUGCGUAGAGAUCGGGAAGAACACCGGUGGCGAAAGCGCUCUGCUGGGCCACAACUGACACUCAGGGACGAAAGCUAGGGGAGCGAAAGGG